UACGUGGGGGGCUAGCGUUGUCCGGAAUCAUUGGGCGUAAAGCGCGUGUAGGCGGUCCGGUAAGUCCGCUGUGAAAGUCGGGGGCUCAACCCUCGGAUGCCGGUGGAUACUGUCGGGCUUGAGUACGGAAGAGGCGAGUGGAAUUCCUGGUGUAGCGGUGAAAUGCGCAGAUAUCAGGAGGAACACCAAUUGCGAAGGCAGCUCGCUGGGACGUUACUGACGCUGAGACGCGAAAGCGUGGGGAGCAAACAGG
rnacentral:rRNA from 1 species